rnacentral:misc_RNA from 1 species
GAAAUGCGAUAAGUAAUGUGAAUUGCAGAAUUCAGUGAAUCAUCGAAUCUUUGAACGCACCUUGCGCUCCUUGGUAUUCCUUGGAGCAUGCCUGUUUGAGUAUCAUGAAAUCUUCAAAGUAAUUCUUUUGUUAACUCAAUUGGUUUCUACUUUGGUAUUGGAGGUCUUUGCAGCUUCACACCUGCUCCUCUUUGUUCAUUAGCUGGAUCUCAGUGUUAUGCUUGGUUCCACUCGGCGUGAUAAGUUAUCUAUCGCUGAGGACACUGUAAAAGGUGGCCAAGGUAAAUGCAGAUGAACCGCUUCUAAUAGUCCAUUGACUUGGUCAAUACUUUUAUGAUCUGAUCUCAAAUCAGGUAGGACUACCCGCUGAACUUAAGC